UACGUAGGGCGCGAGCGUUAAUCGGAAUUACUGGGCGUAAAGCGUGCGUAGGCGGUUCGUUAAGUUCGUUGUGAAAGCCCCGGGCUCAACCUGGGAAUGGCAAUGGAAACUGGCGGGCUGGAGUAUGGCAGAGGGGGGUGGAAUUCCGCGUGUAGCAGUGAAAUGCGUAGAGAUGCGGAGGAACACCGAUGGCGAAGGCAGCCCCCUGGGCCAAUACUGACGCUCAGGCACGAAAGCGUGGGGAGCAAACAGG
rnacentral:rRNA from 1 species